rnacentral:rRNA from 1 species
AGAGUUUGAUUCUGGCUCAGAACGAACGCUGGCGGCAGGCUUAACACAUGCAAGUCGAACGAUAUAGUGGCAGACGGGUGAGUAACGCGUGGGAACGUACCUUUCACUACGGAAUAGCUCUUGGAAACGAGUGGUAAUACCGUAUACGCCCUUCGGGGGAAAGAUUUAUCGGUGAAAGAUCGGCCCGCGUUAGAUUAGCUAGUUGGUAGGGUAAUGGCCUACCAAGGCGACGAUCUAUAGCUGGUCUGAGAGGAUGAUCAGCCACACUGGGACUGAGACACGGCCCAGACUCCUACGGGAGGCAGCAGUGGGGAAUCUUGCACAAUGGGCGAAAGCCUGAUGCAGCCAUGCCGCGUGAAUGAUGAAGGCCUUAGGGUUGUAAAAUUCUUUCGCUAGGGAUGAUAAUGACAGUACCUAGUAAAGAAGCCCCGGCUAACUUCGUGCCAGCAGCCGCGGUAAUACGAAGGGGGCUAGCGUUGUUCGGAAUUACUGGGCGUAAAGCGCACGUAGGCGGACUUUUAAGUCAGAUGUGAAAUCCCGGGGCUCAACCUCGGAACUGCAUUUGAAACUGGAAGUCUAGAGACCAGGAGAGGUUAGCGGAAUACCGAGUGUAGAGGUGAAAUUCGUAGAUAUUCGGUGGAACACCAGUGGCGAAGGCGGCUAACUGGACUGGUACUGACGCUGAGGUGCGAAAGUGUGGGGAGCAAACAGGAUUAGAUACCCUGGUAGUCCACACCGUAAACGAUGAGAGCUAGUUGUUGGCAGGCAUGCCUGUCGGUGACGCAGCUAACGCAUUAAGCUCUCCGCCUGGGGAGUAC